AAGCCCCGGCACUUCUGGGUGCUUAUCCGAAUUUGCAGUUCGAUUUGUACGGGACU
rnacentral:tRNA from 1 species